CCUACGGGGGGCAGCAGUGGGGAAUAUUGGACAAUGGGGGGAACCCUGAUCCAGCCAUGCCGCGUGUGUGAAGAAGGCCCUCGGGUUGUAAAGCACUUUCAGUGAGGAAGAACGCCUGGUGGUUAAUACCCAUCAGGAAAGACAUCACUCACAGAAGAAGCACCGGCUAACUCCGUGCCCGCAGCCGCGGUAAUACGGAGGGUGCGAGCGUUAAUCGGAAUUACUGGGCGUAAAGCGCGCGUAGGUGGCUUGAUAAGCCGGUUGUGAAAGCCCCGGGCUCAACCUGGGAACGGCAUCCGGAACUGUCAAGCUAGAGUGCAGGAGAGGAAGGUAGAAUUCCCGGUGUAGCGGUGAAAUGCGUAGAGAUCGGGAGGAAUACCAGUGGCGAAGGCGGCCUUCUGGACUGACACUGACACUGAGGUGCGAAAGCGUGGGUAGCAAACAGGAUUAGAUACCCUGGUAGUC
rnacentral:rRNA from 1 species